rnacentral:rRNA from 1 species
GACGAACGCUGGCGGCGUGCUUAACACAUGCAAGUCGAACGGAAAGGCCCUGCUUUUGUGGGGUGCUCGAUUGGCGAACGGGUGAGUAACACGUGAGUAACCUGCCCUUGACUUUGGGAUAACUUCAGGAAACUGGGGCUAAUACCGGAUAGGAGCUCCUGCUGCAUGGUGGGGGUUGGAAAGUUUCGGCGGUUGGGGAUGGACUCGCGGCUUAUCAGCUUGUUGGUGGGGUAGUGGCUUACCAAGGCUUUGACGGGUAGCCGGCCUGAGAGGGUGACCGGCCACAUUGGGACUGAGAUACGGCCCAGACUCCUACGGGCGGCAGCAGUGGGGAAUAUUGCACAAUGGGCGGAAGCCUGAUGCAGCAACGCCGCGUGCGGGAUGCCGGCCUUCGGGUUGUAAACCGCUUUCGCAUGUGACGAAGCGUGAGUGACGGUAAUGGGUAAAGAAGCACCGGCUAACUACGUG